rnacentral:rRNA from 1 species
GGACCCGCACAAGCGGUGGAUGAUGUGGUUUAAUUCGAUGCAACGCGAAAAACCUUACCCACCUUUGACAUGGCAGGAACUUACCAGAGAUGGUUUGGUGCUCGAAAGAGAACCUGCACACAGGUGCUGCAUGGCUGUCGUCAGCUCGUGUCGUGAGAUGUUGGGUUAAGUCCCGCAACGAGCGCAACCCUUGCCAUUAGUUGCUACAUUCAGUUGAGCACUCUAAUGGGACUGCCGGUGACAAACCGGAGGAAGGUGGGGAUGACGUCAAGUCCUCAUGGCCCUUAUAGGUGGGGCUACACACGUCAUACAAUGGCUGGUACAAAGGGUUGCCAACCCGCGAGGGGGAGCUAAUCCCAUAAAGCCAGUCGUAGUCCGGAUCGCAGUCUGCAACUCGACUGCGUGAAGUCGGAAUCGCUAGUAAUCGUGGAUCAGAAUGUCACGGUGAAUACGUUCCCGGGUCUU